rnacentral:rRNA from 1 species
GUCGAGAAUCUUUCACAAUGGGGGCAACCCUGAUGGAGCGACGCCGCGUGGAGGAUAAGGUCUUCGGAUUGUAAACUCCUGUCAUGCGUGAACAAGGUUGCUUGGAUAAUACCUGAGCAAAUUGAUGGUAGCGCAAGAGGAAGAGACGGCUAACUCUGUGCCAGCAGCCGCGGUAAUACAGAGGUCUCAAGCGUUGUUCGGAAUCACUGGGCGUAAAGGGGGCGUAGGUGGCGUGGCAAGUCAGAUGGGAAAGCCCGGGGCUCAACCUCGGAAAUGCAUCCGAUACUGCCAUGCUAGAGUACUGGAGGGGUGACUAGAAUUCUCGGUGUAGCAGUGAAAUGCGUAGAUAUCGAGAGGAAUACCAAAGGCGUAGGCAGGUCACUGGACAGUUACUGACACUGAGGCACGAAGGCCAGGGGAGCGAACGGGAUUAGAUACCCGAGUAGUCC